UAAGGAAUAUUGGUCAAUGGACGCAAGUCUGAACCAGCCAUGCCGCGUGAAGGAUGAAGGUCCUCUGGAUUGUAAACUUCUUUUAUCUGGGACGAAAACGGGAUUUUUAUCUCAAUUGACGGUACCAGAGGAAUAAGCACCGGCUAACUCCGUGCCAGCAGCCGCGGUAAUACGGAGGGUGCGAGCGUUAUCCGGAUUUACUGGGUUUAAAGGGUGCGUAGGUGGGCUUAUAAGUCAGUGGUGAAAUCUCCGAGCUUAACUUGGAAACUGCCGUUGAUACUAUAGGUCUUGAAUUAUCUGGAGNUAAGCGGAAUAUGUCAUGUAGCGGUGAAAUGCUUAGAUAUGACAUAGAACACCAAUUGCGAAGGCAGCUUACUACAUAUAAAUUGACGCUGAGGCACGAAAGCGUGGGGAUCAAACA
rnacentral:rRNA from 1 species